rnacentral:rRNA from 1 species
GCAGACGGGUGAGUAACACGUGGGUGACCUGCCUCAAGGUGGGGGAUAACCCGGGGAAACUCGGGCUAAUACCGCAUGACAUCGAGAGAUCAAAGCAGGCGAAAGCUUGCGCCAUGAGAGGGGCCCGCGUCUGAUUAGCUAGUUGGUGAGGUAACGGCUCACCAAGGCGACGAUCAGUAGCCGGCCUGAGAGGGCGAUCGGCCACACUGGAACUGAGACACGGUCCAGACUCCUACGGGAGGCAGCAGUGGGGAAUUUUGCGCAAUGGGGGAAACCCUGACGCAGCAACGCCGCGUGGAGGAUGAAGGUCCUUGGAUUGUAAACUCCUGUCAGCAGGGAAGAAGGCCUG